GCCUGGCUGGCCCAGUUGGAAGGGCAUGUGACUCUUGAUCUCGGGGUCAUGAGUUCGAGUCUCACAUUAGGUA
rnacentral:tRNA from 1 species